AACCCAUGAUGCAGUAAGUCUCUCAUCAACUCCUUGUAUCACUCUCAUGCUUCGAAUAACGAUUCACUAUCCAUCUUUCAAAAACAGGUAAUUUGGUUCCUUAACU